GGAUUAGAUACCCUGGUAGUCCACGCUGUAAACGAUGAGAACCAGCCGUUGGAUUCUUUACUGGAUUUAGUGGCGCAGCUAACGCGCUAAGUUCUCCGCCUGGGGAGUACGGCCGCGAGGUUAAAACUCAAAUGAAUUGACGGGGGCCCGCACAAGCGGUGGAGCAUGUGGUUUAAUUCGAAGCAACGCGAAGAACCUUACCUGGCCUUGACAUCCUGCGGACUUGAGAGAUUCCUUGGUGCCUUCGGGAGCGCAGAGACAGGUGCUGCAUGGCUGUCGUCAGCUCGUGCUG
rnacentral:rRNA from 1 species